AUGGGGGACGUGGCCAAGGACCUGGCCGCCGGCACGGUGGGCGGCGCGGCGCAGCUGGUCGUCGGCCACCCGUUCGACACCAUCAAGGUGAAGCUGCAGAGCCAGCCCACGCCGCCGCCCGGCCAGCCGCCCAAGUUCGCCGGCGCCAUGGACGCCGUCAAGCAGACCAUCUCGGCCGAGGGCCCCCGGGGCCUGUACAAGGGCAUGGGCGCCCCGCUCGCCACCGUCGCCGCCUUCAACGCCGUGCUCUUCACCGUCAGGGGCCAGAUGGAGGCCCUGCUGCGCUCCGAGCCCGGCGCCGCGCUCACCGUCGGCCAGCAGGUCGUCGCCGGCGCCGGGGCCGGCGUCGCCGUCUCCUUCCUCGCCUGCCCCACCGAGCUCAUCAAGUGCAGGCUGCAGGCGCAGAGCGCGCUUGCCACCGCCGCUCCUGCCGCCGCCGCUGCUCCCGCGGGCGGCGCGGCCGCCACCGUGACCGCCACGGCCGCUGCCGCGGUGAAGUAUGGCGGGCCGCUGGACGUGGCGAGGCACGUGCUGCGGUCGGAGGGCGGCGUGCGGGGCCUCUUCAAGGGCCUCGUCCCCACAAUGGCGCGCGAGAUCCCCGGCAACGCGCUCAUGUUCGGCGUCUACGAGGCCACGAAGCAGUUCAUUGCCGGCGGGCAGGACACGUCGGGGCUGGGCAGGGGCUCCCUGAUCCUCGCCGGCGGGGUCGCCGGCGCGGCGUUCUGGGGAUCCGUGUACCCGACCGACGUGGUGAAGAGCAAGCUCCAGGUGGACGACUUCAAGAACCCAAAGUACUCGGGCUCCAUGGACGCGUUCAAGAAGAUCCUCGCCGCCGACGGGGCCAGGGGUCUGUACAGGGGGUUCGGACCGGCCAUGGCGCGCAGCGUCCCGGCCAACGGCGCCUGCUUCCUCGCCUACGAGGUGACAAGGUCCCUGCUCUAG
rnacentral:rRNA from 1 species